GCGGCAAUAGCUCAGUUGGGAGAGCGUUAGACUGAAGAUCUAAAGGUCCUGCGUUCAAUCCGCAGUUGCCGCA
rnacentral:tRNA from 1 species